GAAUUUUCCGCAAUGGGCGAAAGCCUGACGGAGCAACGCCGCGUGAGGGAUGAAGGCCUCUGGGCUGUAAACCUCUUUUCUCAAGGAAGAAGAUCUGACGGUACUUGAGGAAUAAGCCACGGCUAAUUCCGUGCCAGCAGCCGCGGUAAUACGGGAGUGGCAAGCGUUAUCCGGAAUUAUUGGGCGUAAAGCGUCCGCAGGCGGCCCUUCAAGUCUGCUGUUAAAAAGUGGAGCUUAACUCCAUCAUGGCAGUGGAAACUGUUGGGCUUGAGUGUGGUAGGGGCAGAGGGAAUUCCCGGUGUAGCGGUGAAAUGCGUA
rnacentral:rRNA from 1 species